rnacentral:lncRNA from 1 species
GCAACAGAUAUCAGUUUCCAAAAUUUUUGAAAAAAAACCAUGAGAGUGUAAUAAGUGAGUCUGUGAAGAAAAUAAAGAAUUCAGAUUUAAUAAUAAUUUGACACCAUUUAAUUAUGAGUUCUAGAGAAAUUUUAAAUUAUAUAAAAUUGACCAAUGAUGAAAAAGAAGUAAACCUGGUAUAGAAAAUGCUAAAUUCUUCCUGAAAGAUGAAGACAGAGAAUUAAAGUAGCAUUCCUCUACUGGAGAAAAGAAAAGAAUAUUUUACUCAGAACAUCUAUUUUAUCCAGAAGCUGAGUAAUCCUUGAGGAGCACAUAGCAAAGUAACUGGUUCUCAUUAGGUUGUUAGACUUUGAAUCCAUGGCAGCUUUAGUUCAAGAGUUUUCCAUCUCUGAGUCUCUGACUGAAACAAAUAUGGGGAAAAGAUGAAGCCUUCCCUUCCAAGCAAUUUUUACAGACCUUACUCAACCUAACAGCAAGAAGCAGCCACUGUGUCCCAGAACUGAAACCUCUAGAUCACAACAAAUAAGUGAAGACAUGUCACUGGGCAGAGCCUACUAUAAACAUUUAACAAGGCAGCUAUAUAUAGGAGCUCAAAGAGGAGAGAAAAUGAGAAUUCCAACAGGAGGAAGAAAGUUUCUGCAAUAAGUCCUCUUAGUGGAACUAUCUAUCCUCCAAAUUUUGAAAAAUUUCAAAAGGCAGAAAUGUUGCAAAUGUGAAGAGACAGAAUGAAAAGCCCUUCACACAGCUGUCAAAGUAAUUAUAUGAGUAGAAAUUUUGACUUCCUGAUGGGAAAUAAGUUUCAAUUUAAGUGGACUCUAGUGGAGGGCAUAACUGGACUCUUGUCAAGCUCAAAACCAGUACUUCUUUUCUUACACUGUUUUUACUCAGAUAAAAUUCCAUCUCUGUUAUUUUUUUUUAAUAGGUGAAAUGACUUUAGAGAGUAUAUUUUUUUGUUUCCCUGCUAGAUACCAGUUUUAAGUCCUGGAUAUUGUCUUACUUUCUAAAUCUGAAGUGUUCAGGUCUAACUCUAUUAUAAUCUAUUGCAUCUAAUUUGCUAUUCAAAUUUUAAACAAUAAACAACACAACAUAAUUUAAAUCCUAAGGUCUUAAAAGUACCAUUCUUAUGUUUGUGUAAGAAACAGAACUCCUAAUGGAAACAGCAGACCUCAAUCACACAGUAGCUGAGACUGAACAAAAGAGGUAGUGAAUACCAAUCUAGUUUUUUUUUAAUUAAGUCUAGAACUAGAUUUCAAUCUUUGAUAUUAUAUAUAUUUGUAUGUACACUUGCCAGCUUAUUUAAUCUUUGAAUUUAAUGUUUCCAUAGAAAUCUGUAGUGAGAAGAAGUUUCUGCCCAGUUGGUGACACCUCUGUGUAUAUUUUUUUAAAUGUCACUGUAUCUUUUUGCACAGUUUCUUAAAGGACAUGUUGUUCAAUAUGUCUGGACAAAAUUUGCUGUGUGAAAUGCAACAUGAAAUAAACUUCUGACUUGAUAUUAAUGUGCAGAUGUAUUUCUGUUAAAUGACAGAACCGUCUACUUCCAAAAGAUAUGCUGACCAUUUGUGGUUUCAGGUGGACACAUAAAGGAGCAAUUGGAG